CCCUCUGACAAAUCCAUUCCUUCAUUGGCUUUAGAGCCUUCUUCUUCUUCUUCUUCUUCUUCUUCUUCUUCUUCUUCUUCUUCUUCUUCUUCUUCUUCUUUUCCUCCUCCUCCUCCUCCUCCUCCCUCCUCCCUCCUCCUCCUCCUCCUCCUUCUGGAUUCCAGUGUGUACUGGAGACCAGCUGAGACCUCCAGCCUCAUGGACUGAACAAUUACUAGAUUCUUGGAUUUUCUGUUGGUAGAUAGCCAUUGAUGGACUAGCUGAACCGCAGCCUAUAAGCUGAUCCAAUAAAUUCCAUAUAGAUAUAUGAUGGGGCCCAAAGAGGUAGCUCUGUUUCAUCUUGACUUAAGGUCAGAGAGUUUGAGCCUAUUCUUGCUCCUCCAAGGUUAAAUCCACAGUAUAUUUGGCCUCAGCUGUGACUAUUGUGGUGUGUCUUGCCUUGACAACAGGAUAUUUGGCCAAAGGAGUAACUAAUGGAUAUCUUACCUUAAUGACAGGAUAUUUGUUUUAGGGUGUGAUUACCAGAUGUUUUGGGUAUUGAGGAGGUAAUUACGCUUGUUUGUUCCUUGUAUCAUGGUGAGGAAGUCUUUUGCCUUCCACUCCCUUGAUUGGGGUGUAUAGGAGCUUUGAGUAAUAAACCUGGGGCUGACCCUAGUGUUCAGUAGGGGCCCUCCAGAUUCUCUGCCUCUUGCCUGUUUCUUUCCUCAAUCCACACUUCCCCCUCAGGUACAGCCCGGACAGAUGUCUCCAUAGCGUGGGGCUAUUUAUGUAUCAUUCUAUGUAUCUGCUCCUCUGGAGAGCCCUGACUAACACAGUUUCGUUUGUCAUGCACUUUGUCACAGCGGUCACAAAGGUAACUGGAACACUUCCAUCUCGAGGAAUUCUUACAGGCUCCAUGAUGGUAAAAUCUCCAGGUGAAAGCUCCCACCCAUUUUGUCAUUCAUGGGUCCCUGGAAGACCAGGUUGCAGAAGAGUUCAGCACCCUCUUUUCUUUCUCACCAAGACCUGAGGCACUCGACUGAAUGUGAGCCUGAAGUUUAGUGAUUUGGUGAGGUGCUUUUAGCAUUGCGGCAGAUCUGGCCUCCUGACAUCACAAGAACCAAUGGGCAUGGAGAAAACAUCCCUCAUCACCAUGGCAACUGGUGCAAACUAGUUCCCACCUAUGUUUCCAGGCUAGGGACUCUGUACAGAGCCUACCUGUAUCCUAGCAACAGGAGGAUGCUACAGUUGACUUUGGUUUUCCAAAUGGCCUGGAAAUGGUUUUCCCUCCUGCCCCACCUCCCACAUCCCUUCUUUCUGUUGUUUCUCAGGUGCAAAGCUGUUGAAGUCAGAGCCUGAAAGAAACAAGUGGGAAGAGAGAAUGUAGGACAUUAGUGAUGCUGGGGGCAGAGGUGUGUGCAAGUUGGGCCAGCAGGAAACGUGAAGCAUGAAUCUUAGGGAAGGGGAUGAAUUUUAUUCACAGAUGAGGCGUGGGAAAUAGGUCAGGGGUGAACUACAAGUUCUUUACCCUGUGAAAUAUCUCAAUGUAAGGCGAUCAGCCAUGUCUCAUCUUUGAAUACAGAAGAUGAAGGGUCAUUGUUGCAGCUCUGUGCCACGGUGCUGAUGUCCUGAAGCUCACUGAGUGAGUGAAUCCUCUGUGAACCCAACAUUCUGAAUUCACUUAAUCCCUAAGGCUCAUUCUGUAAGACAGAGAGAUGACAGACAGACAGGCAGAUAGAUGGUGGGUAGAGAGAUGACAGACAGACAGAUGUGCAGUAGAUAAAUGACAGACAAGUAGAUAGAUUGAUAUAUAAAUUUGCAUCUAAUGCUAAUUAGAACAGGUAGAUCAGUGAAAUAGAACAUAAAAGCCCACAAAACUCCAACGUGUGAAACUUGAUGUAUCAUGUGCUAAAUGGUAUGCCUGUUUUAGUGGAGGUGUGGAUGAGGGAGAGAAUGUUCUAGAAGGUGAGUUACAGUUGGCUCAUAUACACAUACAAAGAGAUGUAUAACCUCAGAGAAAAGUAAAUCAAAGCCACACUGCAAUACUGUUCUUUUGUACUUAGUAAAAUCUUCAAAGUCCAAUAAAAGACAGUACUGUUGUUACUUGGCUAAACCG
rnacentral:lncRNA from 1 species